CCAGCAGCUGCGUUAAUUCCAGCUCCAAUAGCGUAUAUUAAAGUUGUUGCAGUUAAAAAGCUCGUAGUUGGAUUUCUGGUAGGGUGCCAAUGUCCGCCGCCGUGCGUGCGCAGCGGCGCCCUUCCAUCCUUGUGUCAACGCCUCUUGGCAUUCGUUUGCUGGUGGCGGGCUCACAUAUUUUACCUUGAGAAAAUUAGAGUGUUUCAGGCAGGCUAGGCCGGAAUACAUUAGCAUGGAAUAAUGGAAUAGGACUACGGUCUCUUUGUUGGUUGAGGGGCUGCAGUAAUGAUUAAUAGGGAUAGUUGGGGGCAUUAG
rnacentral:rRNA from 1 species